rnacentral:tRNA from 1 species
GUCUUUCUAGUAUCAACAAGUAUAAGUGACUUCCACUCAUUUGGUCUCGGUUCAAGUCCGGGGAAAGACA